AAUAAUAAAAAUACAAAAACAACGUUGUUUCUUGCUGAAUUGCAAUUUUCUAGUACAUCAUAGGGUCAUAGAUUCAGAGCUCCAAGGGACUUUGUAAAUUAUCUAUUGUAAAUCUCUCAUUUUACAGAUGAAGAAAUCAAGGCUUACAGAGGAAUUGGCCAUGUUUCCUGGCAGCAAACCAAAGGUUCAGCAUUCAACUUAUUAAGAGUUUAAUGUGCCAGCUUGGCAUUCAUGGAGUAUACUGCCCGGGAGCUGAUUACAACAACAUACCAAGAAGAAAGAUGGAACAUGAUAUUGUCCAAAGUACAAGCUGGAGUAGUCUCUCAGAAGCCGAGAAUGACGAUUGUCUUUGUGCAUGUGUGCACAAAGAUACUUGUGCGUGAAGAUUUAAGUGGAAAAGUCGAUGCACAGAGACAGUCCCACUCUCUCGGCGUUGGAAGCCUGGGUCCAGUGGUAUGAAAAGUCAUUACACCUGGAGACUUCCUCAGCUGCAUUGAAUGGCCGGGUUGUCUUUUGUGCUCCAACGUGCCCUGAACACUCCACAGUGCUUUGCUGCGUCGCCAUCUCAGCUGUUGAACCUUCUUGUUGGUUUCUUCCAUCUGUUCAGCUGAAGCAGUCUUCACAUGCUGGGUGAGCAAAGCCUUGGUUCACCAGGGGUCUAUGACCCAAUGGCUACCCUCACAAGGUUUGGCCGGCCUAUCGAAGCCGUUGCCAUAUUAUAUAUUAUGACAAGACUAUAAGUGAACUCUACGGAUUGUACAUCCCUGACGACACUUUAAAAUAGAAUUAUUCAAGUAUGCAUAUCUACAUAAGGAAUAUCUUUGGGCACUCUGAUUUUAUGACAUCAGAGUUGUUAAUGAAGGGUACCCUGGGGAAGUAAGGUGUCUCAGUUAAUAGAGAAGCAGACCUAGAGAUAAGAGGUCCUGGUUUCAAAUAUGACCUCAGAUACUUCCUAGCUAUAUGACCCUAGGCAAGUCACUUAACUCCAAUUCCUUAUUGCUCUUCUGCCUUGGAACCAAUACUUAGUUAAUUCUAAGACAGAAAGUGAGGUUUAAAAAAACCACAAAAAUAAGACACACCAUGGGUCUAGCAGAUAUGAGCAAUAUUUGUACUAUGAAGAUAUCAUCUUUUAAUCACAUCUUUUGAAGUUAGUGAUAUAUAUCUUGGGAUCUAGCUAUCUAUCUAUUAAUCAAUAGAUAAUUGCCAUAAUUAGUUGAAGCCUUUGCUCCUUUCUCUAUGGUACCAUCACAUUAUAUGGAGAUUAGAAGAAUUUGGCCCCAGCCAAGUAUUUCUUCAAUAUCCAGACAUCCUCAGAAUCACAUCCAUUUACCAGGUAACAUCAGCAAAAAGAGGCCAAAUAUUUAGAGGGUAGGACCUCAGGGACAAUAAGACAUUUUUCUAAUGGUCUGAGGACAAUUCACAACUUGAUGAAAUAGAAGCGAGGAGAUGGGAAGGGAAGGGAAGUAACUAUGACCUACAAUCUCUGGGCAUUCUUUUUAGUUGUCUGGCACUAUGAAAAUUCAUAUCACCACUUUAUGGAGGCACUUCAACCCUGAUCACAGGACAGGCAAAAAGAAAAGCUUCAAAAUAGAAUCUGAAACACAUUGCUGCCAACUUCUUAUAAGUUACAAUAGAAAGCACAUAGUAUUUGUAUGGAGCAACAGAGAACAAGUCAGAUUGAUUAGAAACAAGGUAGUCAUACUGAGGAUAAGAGGCACUUUUGACAAUAAGGACAGCAUCUAUAGGCAGCAAUAUUAUUCAUUUAGGAGAGCAGAAAUUUAGUUCAUAUUGUGAAGAAUGAAAACAAAAGGUACUGAGUAAAUGUAAAGGGAAUGAGUCUGUAUUCUCCUUGGGAUGGUUGUCAUUUUGGUCCAAAGCAGAAUACAGAAAAUUAGAUCCCCAUUAAAAUAAAACUGACAGUAGGUUCAGGGAAGAUCAAAAGUUCAAUGAGACUUCCAAAAUCUUUUCAAUAAUUCUUAACCCUUAUACGGAAUAAUUAAAAUAAUAAUAAUAUGCUCAGGAUAUUUGGGAUCCUCAAUUCUGAAGGAGUUUAGAUUGGUUGUUAAAGAAUGAUUACAUUCUGUCAAUCCAAAUUCUCCUUAAUAUUUCUAUUGGCCAAAAGAAUCAGGGCUUUAAACCUUAAAAGAGAACCAUCUAAAUAUAAACUCAUAAUAGCAAAUAUGUUACAGAACUUUCUGAUGCAUACCCAAAUGGCCUAAGAAAUAUCCACAUGGGAGAGUAUGAAAUUCCAGACACCUGAUUCUGGAAAAAGAAAUCCUGCUUUCCUCUACCACAUAUGUUGGACCAGCCUCUUUCCAUUGGCCCCAAAGCCAGAACUGCUUGUUUCUUUAAAUCUAUCUGAUGGAGGAACAGUUGGACAUUCUCUUUUGGAAGGCAUUCAAGUGUAAGGUCUUGUACACCCUCAGCAAGGGCAGUUUGGUAGAAAAAAGACUACAUUCCCCUUGAUUUAGGUCUUGCAGCUCCAAGAAACAAGCUUGGGUUUUUGGUCUGUUUCUCUUCUCCUCUUCAGUUCUAGAUAAAGGCAAUUGAGUCCUGGUUGCAGGAAUUUGAAUGGAAAGAGUGGAGCCAAGAUUCCAAGCCAGAUGUUACUCUCGGUUCACCAAAGAAGUCCUCAGGAGAUAAGAAUGCCAAGAUGAGAACUGGGGCAGGGGAGGGUUUUAGACUUGGAUUUUGAUGGAACUGAUGUUAUCUGCUAUAGGAACUAAACCAAAUCAAGAACUAAUUCUCCCUUUCCUAACCAAAAACCAAGGAAAUAUAGGAGAGAUUAUGAUGCCCCAGGUAACAGAACAGGAAGUAGGAAUUGUAUGCUUGUUUUUGCUAUAAAUUUAAAAUAAAUAUUUGUUUUUAAAAAGCUUGUCUUACUGUUAAGUGGUUAUAUGGAACUCAAGACUGAAGGAAGACAGUUGGUGGCAGUUUGAGCCAAUGGCAGAGACUAAAUACCUCCCAUCCUUCUUAAAGGUACUGAAAAAUUCUGAAAAAGUGAAAAUGUAAUAUAACUAGCCUGCAGGCAGUAGGGGCUGGAGUAGUCAUUAUUACAUAUAAUGUUUAAGUUUCUUGAUUAUUUUUCUUAACCAUGUGCAAAAUAACAAAUGUAAGUCAUCAAAGCGCAUUCUUAUCAAAUGGGGGAUGAGGAGGAAGAAACCCAACCAGACAAACUCUUUAGCUGCAGGAAUAAUUAGAAGAAGGAAAGCAACACAAAAAUGUUUAUAUUGGUGUGUGUUUGAGUUUGUUGGCAUGUAUAGUGUUGAGAUCUUUUGUUUAUUGUUCUCUUAUGACAGAUGAACAAAGUAUCUCUAUUUAGCUCUUAGAAUAAAAUUACAGUUUGUAGAAACAUACUAUCAUUUGGAUCAAGUUGUUUCAUGUAUUAUAUAAGUAUAAAUACAGCUACUCUAUAAGAUAACCAGAGCUUAAAAGAUAUUUUAAAACCUAUAUAAAUUAAAUAUUCUGUAUUACAAAUGCAUUAUGGAGCCAUACUUUUCUAUUAUUUCUUUCAUAAUUUUGAUUUAUUUUACUGUUAAAGAAAGCAAAGCUUUGGAGGUUGAAUAGUCUAUUUGAAUCAAGUUCAUUACAAAUAAUAAUCCAGUAUUAAAAUCUGUUUGGAUAAUGUGACUUUCCUAUAAUGUACUCGUGUGCUAGUCUCAUAAUAAAA